rnacentral:rRNA from 1 species
UACGUAGGUGGCGAACGUUAUCCGGAAUUACUGGGCGUAAAGGGUCCGCAGGCGGCUUUUUAGGUCUGACGUGAAAGCCCAAGGCUCAACUUUGGGACGCCGUUAGAAACCAUCAAGCUAGAAUCAUGCAGAGGUCGGUGGAAUUCCUGGUGUAGUGGUGGAAUGCGUAGAUAUCAGGAGGAACCCCUAAAGCGAAGGCAGCCGGCUGGGCAAUGAUUGACGCUGAGGGACGAGAGCGUGGGGAGCGAACAGG